AGGCAAGUCCCGUACAACCAGCUCCUGAAGAACUCCCCCAGGGCGGGAACGCAGCAAGGGUAUUCGGUCGUAGCGGUGUGAUACGGGUAGCUUGCCU
rnacentral:SRP_RNA from 1 species